GACGAACGCUGGCGGCGUGCUUAACACAUGCAAGUCGAACGGAAAGGCCCUGCUUUUGUGGGGUGCUCGAGUGGCGAACGGGUGAGUAACACGUGAGUAACCUGCCCUUGACUUUGGGAUAACUUCAGGAAACUGGGGCUAAUACCGGAUAGGAGCUCCUGCUGCAUGGUGGGGGUUGGAAAGUUUCGGCGGUUGGGCAUGGACUCGCGGCUUAUCAGCUUGUUGGUGGGGUAGUGGCUUACCAAGGCUUUGACGGGUAGCCGGCCUGAGAGGGUGACCGGCCACAUUGGGACUGAGAUACGGCCCAGACUCCUACGGGAGGCAGCAGUGGGGAAUAUUGCACAAUGGGCGGAAGCCUGAUGCAGCAACGCCGCGUGCGGGAUGACGGCCUUCGGGUUGUAACCCGCUUUCGCCUGUGACGAAGCGUGAGUGACGGUAAUGGGUAAAGAAGCACCGGCUAACUACGUG
rnacentral:rRNA from 1 species